rnacentral:lncRNA from 1 species
AUAACAAUUCAUUAGAAGAGUUACGUAGAGAAUGAAAUCUACUAUCUUCUAUGAUUUUAAAAAAUCCAUCAUCAAUAUUUUAUCCCUGUAACAUCAAUCAAUAUACAUCAUAAAUCAAAUAUUCAUCUUUGCACUACAGGCCAAAGAUAUUCAUCAUAAAUCAUUCAUCUUUGCACUACAGGCCAAAAAUAUUCAAUAAUAUCAUCAUUUAAGACUGAGGAUGAUGAAAAAUAUUUUUUUAAAGAAACGAAUCCAGUGAAACAAAAUGACAAGGAUUAAGGAUUAAGGAUUCGUACUUUGUUUUAUCCACGUCCAAAAAUACCUCAAAAAUAAUCAUAGUGGUGUAAAAUUCAAGAAUGAUCAAAACAUGGAUACAAUCAAAGCUAGUAUCCAUAAUAGAUAUU